UACGAAGGGGGCUAGCGUUGCUCGGAAUCACUGGGCGUAAAGGGUGCGUAGGCGGUUUGUCGCGUCGGCCGUGAAAUCUCCACGCUUAACGUGGAGCGUGCGGUCGAUACGGGCAGACUUGAGUUCGGUAGGGGAGACUGGAAUUCCUGGUGUAGCGGUGAAAUGCGCAGAUAUCAGGAGGAACACCGGUGGCGAAGGCGGGUCUCUGGACAGUUCCUGACACUGAGGCACGAAGGCCAGGGGAGCAAACGGG
rnacentral:rRNA from 1 species